UUAAUUAUUUUCUCGGAGAAAACGAAUUAGUCAGAAUUAGCUAGAAGUUGCUCUUGAAAAUUUCUUCAGUUAAUCAUCGAUUAAUAUUAUAUAACCUAAUAUUGAUAGUUAUCAUCUGAUAUAAGAUCAUCAACAAAUAAUCGAAAGAAUUGCAACAUUGAUUUCCAGUUAUGUAAUUUCUCGUGCAAUAAUGGUUGUGUUCGGGGAGACGCUAUUUAGCGCUAUGAGCGUCCUCUGUCCUUGUUCAACUUUCAGGAACAAACAAGGACAGAGCACACUCAUAGCGUUAAAUAACGUCUCCUCAAACGCAACUAAUAUAACAGAUCGACAAUUUAUGGUAAAACAGAGCAAGGGCUACAUUUUUGACACACAACCGAACACUGAUCUCAGCCGUCACGUCGAGCACUUGAGGCACUUUGGCAUCCUUCGCGCUUUGAUUUCGGCUUCUCUUGACUGCCGUUUCAACGCUGAAAGAAGAAUCGAUCAAGACUGAUUUACACACCGCAUCUCCAACAUCUCAGCUGUUAGAUCUAUACUCACUUAUCGUCGUAGAACCGAUGUUUAUUGGCUCCAGUUUCAGGCUCUGCAUCUCUCUCAACGCCAUCGCGUGAAAAGAUAACGCUGCUACACGUGUGAAUAAUGCGGGCACGCCGUUGCCUGUCCUCGAGGAAACCGACCAGUAUUCUGCUCGCAUUCUAUUUGCCGUUUCUGCCGCCCGCCUCUCUAUUAUAUCGUAUACCGGUUGAGACUGUCAUUCCAUAAAGAUGUUAGGAGAGUAUUUAGAAAGGGAGGAGAAACUGAAAAAAGAUGGAGUCGACCUUUACCAGUAAAUCUUUCUUAGUUCCCACCAGGAAAAUGUGAUAAGGACCAACGUUGCUGCGACUUGCUUCAUUCAACCACUGCUGACAGUGCGUCAGGGACAUCAAGUUUCCCAGAUCGAAGACGACCAUGAUUACUGAAAUACAUAAUUAUGCAGUAAUUUAUUAGAUAUCUCUGGGAUUGAUUUUGUUACAUUUGCAAGUGGAAAGGCACGCCAAGAAUGUCAAAUCUCUCAACUUCGAAGUCCACGCCGAUAGUAGCCUUGUAAUUGUUAUCGAAGAGCUUGUGGCAGAACCUGUUCACUAAUGCUGU